CGGCGGGUCUGCUCCCGCUCCCCGGCACCGCGACUUGUUGCACGGCGGCCGUGCGAGGAGCCCGCCCUUGCCCGAUGGAGUUGUUCCGACCCCCGGGCACCGCCGCCCUCGCUGCCCUCAGCAGCUCGCCACCCCCGAGCGUCCCAGCAGCGCUGCCAGAGCCGCGGUGCAGCGGGGCGGAGAGGGGCCAGAGAGGUGGGACCCUUUCUCAACUCCGAUUUCACCGAGAGGCUGCCGAGCUCUCCCACUCCUAUUGGGAACGGAGAGAUGAGACUGCUAGAGCAGCCGAGGGAUGGUGAGAGCUGCGCACCUGGGGAGGAAGGGAAGACUGCCUCUCCUGCCGAUGCACGCUGGGGCGGACAACGGCACCAGAGAGCAGGGGCGGCAGGUGCUGUCCCUCGGUCCCCCCUCGGUCCCUUCUUUCUCAUCCCUGUCACUCGUGUGAGGUGUUGAUGCUCCACAGCUGACUUGUUGGUUGUGACCCUGGGGGAAUGUGGUGUUCAGCCCAGUCUCAAACACAUUGUCCCCGUCCUCCUGCACUUCAUACUUCAUCCUCACACCUUCUAUCUCAGGUUAUGGGUGAUUCCUCUUGUUCUGAUACUGUAAGUGUGUUGCAGGGCUGCACGACUCUGGGCAGCACUGGAAUCCCAGUGACUUUCUGCUCUAUGCUCCCCACGAGACCAGUCCGUCCAAACACAGAAGGAAGCCUUGAACCAGGACAAGCCUGGUCCUGCCUAACACUGUGGGACACGGUCCAGAGGACUGGGAAGUUGCUCAGGGAGAUCUCAAAAAGCAAAGAAACUGGUGGAUCAGGGAAUGCAGACAAAUUCACUUGAAAUCUGCUUCCAGGGUGGCAGGGAAAAGUUCACCUCCUUGAGCAAUGUGAAAAGCAACAGGGAAGGAGAUGCUGCAUUAGCAAGGUCUGAAGGCCAAAAGAAAGAGGAUUAAAUGGCAGCAGGGCCCAAAUCUGGCCCUGGGCAUCCACUGCUCUAGAGAUGCAGAUCUCUGGCCUUAUAGCAGCCACAGUUAUUUGUGUUGUAAACUUAAAGCCACCUCAAAAACACUGCAAAGGCUGAUCAGACCAUGUCCACGGGUUUCAGGUGCACCUGAGAGAGGCUGCUCUGAAUGCAGACAGGGCUUUACCUCCCAUGUGCAGCAUCAGGCUCUGCCAAGAGAAAAAAAAGAAGAGCUCAAACAUCCCACCUCUCCACCCAAAACUCCACUAACAUAACCCAGACACCCAAAGCUGACUCUGCAUGCAGGCUCAGGCUGCAGUUGCUGUUGCAAAUCAUCAGUCUUUCCCUGUUCCCUGGGCUGUGCCUGGCAUUGCUUUGUAGACCUGUACCGGCUGAGAUUUGUCCUUUGUCUCUUCAGAGCCUUUCCUGUGGUUUCUGUGAUGGACAGAGGUAUAUCAGCCGUGAAAAUGAAGGCAAGACUACUUCCAAGAGUACAGGGAAGAGCUCCCUCCCACCUCCAGCUUUUUGCUGCAGGUUCUAUCAAAGCUGUUUCCAGGGCUAUUUGGACAAAAAGUAUUUCAGCUUCCAAAAGCUUCUCUGCCCUGCCAGAGAGGAGGCUGGGGUAUGCAAGAAGAUGGGAGGAGAUGCUGCUGAGACAACUGCCCCAAACUGGCUGUAGGUGUAUCCCAUAUCAUACAGCAUCAUGCUGAACAAAAAAGCUGGAGGGAGAUGGUGAGAGGACUGGCUGGGCAGCAGUCAGUUGAUGGCCUGCAUAUACAGAAGAUACUAAUACAGCAAUGAAAUUUACUGUCUCCUUGUACUGCCUUGGAAGUACAAAUAGUUGUCAAUCUUGCAACAGGAAACGGCAUGUGUUCCCUUCCAAGUGUAUCUCCUUCAGGACCCUGGACUCUGAUUACUGUUACAUGAUGACAUUUCUCAGCACUGUGCCAUGGUCUCUUGCCAGGUAUCUUUUCUUCUCUUGGAGUAUUAGCAGCAAUAAAAAUCCUAUGUGUGACCCAUCUUCAAGUACA